GACUGCAGGUGCUAGGUGGCUGCUCCCCUCUUGCAGCACCUGGGGAAGAGGGCUGGUUGGAGCAGUCAACCUUGUUCCCGGGGAGUACCUCUGGAUUCUGACUGAUUUCUGUUAGUCCCCAAGGAUUACUGCUGUUUCUCUCAUUUAAAUUUCAUUGGCUUUAUGUGUGAUUGUCCCAGUUGUAGGCCUGUCUGCCAGUCACCUUCCUGAUGUGAUCUGCUUGUUAACUUUGUUAACUCUUUAGAACAAUGACAACGAGACGGCCCUGCAUUGCGCGGCACAGUAUGGCCACACGGAGGUGGUGAAGGUCCUCUUAGAGGAGCUCACAGACCCCACGAUGCGCAACAACAAGUUCGAGACCCCUCUGGACCUGGCUGCGCUGUAUGGGAGGCUGGAGGUGGUGAAGAUGCUGCUCAAUGCGCACCCCAACCUCUUGAGCUGCAACACUAAGAAGCACACGCCUCUGCACCUGGCGGCCAGGAAUGGCCACAGGGCCGUGGUCCAGGUGCUCCUGGACGCGGGCAUGGACAGCAACUACCAGACGGAGAAGGGCAGUGCUUUGCAUGAGGCCGCUUUGUUUGGCAAGACCGAUGUGGUGCACAUCCUGCUGGCCGCAGGAAUUGAUGUCAACAUAAAAGAUAACCGUGGACUGACUGCCCUAGACACUCUCCGGGAACUGCCUUCACAGAAGAGCCAGCAGAUAGCAGCACUUAUUGAAGAUCACAUGACCGGAAGAAGAAGUACAAAAGAGGUGGAUAAAACUCCCACACCCCAGCCUCCUCUCAUCUCCAGUGUGGACGCCAUAUCCCAGAAGUCUCAGGGUGACGUGGAGAAAGCAGUGACUGAACUGGUCAUCGAUUUUGACACAAAUGCUGAAGAGGAGGGGCCCUACGAGGCGCUAUACAAUGCUGUCUCCUGCCACUCGCUGGACAGCAUGGCCAGUGGGCGAUCAUCUGACCGGGACUCUGUGAGCAAGGAGGCCGAGGCUGCGAGCAUGAAAGCUGCUGGAGUGAGGCCGAGGGAACGGCCACCGCCUCCAGCAAAGCCCCCGCCCGAUGACGAGGAGGAAGACCGCAUGGACCAGAAGCAUUUUCCCCUGCCCGCCCCCGAGGUCUGCGUGAGAGGCCGGGUUCAGGGGAGCUCAGCCAGGGAGGAGGAGGAGCAUCCUUACGAGCUGUUGUUAACAGCAGAAACAAAGAAGCUGGCUGCAGUGGACGGAAAGACAAAAGACCACAGGCGGAGCAGCAGCAUCCGGAGCCAGGACUCUGCGGAGGGGCAGGACGGGCAGGUCCCAGAGCAGUUCUCAGGUCUCCUCCACGGCUCCUCCCCGGUGUGUGAGGUGGGGCAGGACCCCUUCCAGCUGCUCUCUGCCACUGCCCAGAGCCAUCCGGAAGGUUCCCCCGCGCAGGGCACCUGCCACGAGGCCAGCAUGCAGCUGGAGGAGACAGGCGUGUGCACUCCUGGAGGCUCCCCGCCCAGUGUCCUGGACCAGAGUAAGAGAGGGGCCUACCCAGCAGGCCUGCCCACCACCAACAGCCAAUCGCACCCCGAAACUUUGACUCACACAGCCUCUCCACACCCUGGUGGUGCUGAGGAAGAAGGAGACCAGAGCGGGGCCAGAAGCCGAGUCCCUCCCACCAGCAAACCCAAAGCUGAACUCAAACUCAGCCGCAGCUUGUCCAAGUCUGACUCUGAUCUCCUGACCUGCUCGCCCACGGAGGACGCAGCGAUGGGGAGCCGGAGCGAGUCCUUGUCCAACUGCAGCAUUGGGAAGAAGAGGCUGGAGAAGUCACCCUCCUUCGCCUCGGAGUGGGAUGAGAUUGAGAAAAUCAUGAGCUCUAUUGGAGAAGGGAUUGACUUUUCUCAGGAACAGCAGAAGAUCUCAGGUUCGCGGACGCUGGAGCAGAGCGUCGGGGAGUGGCUGGAGGCAGUGGGGCUGCAGCAGUAUGAGAGCAAGUUGCUUCUGAAUGGCUUUGACGAUGUCCGCUUCCUGGGGUCUAACGUGAUGGAAGAGCAGGAUCUGCGGGAGAUCGGCAUCAGUGACCCGCAGCACCGCCGGAAGUUGCUCCAGGCUGCACGGUCCCUGCCCAAGGUGAAGGCCCUGGGCUACGACGGGAACAGCCCCCCAUCAGUGCCCUCCUGGCUGGACUCCCUGGGCCUGCAGGACUAUGUCCACUCCUUCCUGUCCAGUGGCUACAGCUCCAUCGACACUGUGAAGAACCUCUGGGAGCUGGAGCUCGUCAAUGUCCUAAAGGUUCACCUCCUCGGCCAUCGCAAGCGUAUCAUUGCCUCCCUCGCAGACAGGCCCUAUGAGGAGCCACCCCAGAAGCCCCCAAGGUUUUCCCAGCUGAGAUGCCAAGACUUGCUCUCCCAGACGUCGUCCCCCCUGAGCCAGAAUGACUCGUGUACCGCACGGUCUGCUGACCUGCUGCUGCCUCCUGGGGACACAGGCAGAAGGCGACAUGACAGUGUCUCUGACCCCACGGCACCCUCUCGAGUGGAGCGCUUCAGAAUCCAGGAAGAGCACCGAGAGGCCAAGCUGACCCUUCGGCCGCCCAGCCUUGCCGCCCCCUACGCCCCUGUGCAGAGUUGGCAACACCGGCCAGAAAAGCUCAUCUUCGAGUCCUGUGGUUAUGAAGCCAAUUACCUGGGCUCCAUGUUGAUCAAAGACCUUCGAGGAACAGAAUCCACACAAGACGCCUGUGCCAAGAUGCGGAAAUCCACUGAGCACAUGAAGAAGAUACCCACCAUCAUCCUGUCCAUCACGUACAAAGGCGUCAAGUUCAUCGAUGCCUCCAACAAGAACAUCAUCGCGGAGCACGAGAUCCGGAACAUUUCCUGUGCGGCCCAGGACCCAGAAGACCUCUGCACCUUCGCCUACAUCACCAAGGACCUGCAGACGGGCCACCACUACUGCCAUGUUUUCAGCACGGUGGACGUGACCUUGACCUACGAGAUCAUCCUGACGCUGGGGCAGGCGUUCGAGGUGGCCUACCAGCUGGCCCUGCAGGCCCAGAGGUCCAGGCCGGCAGGAGCCGCUGCCGCCGAGACGAUGGAGAUGAAAUCUUCCAAACCGGUGCCUAAGCCUCGUGCCGGCGUGAGGAAGUCAGCAGUGCCGCUGCCCCCCGAUAGUCGCUGUUGUUACUGUCACACCUGCACCACCCAUCGUCCUUCCUACCUACCGCUGCCGUCUGUUAGUCCCGGAGUCAAGCUGGAACCGCCAGAUGUGGACCCAGAUGCCCAGUCCCAUGCCAGUGUCUCCUGGGUUGUGGACCCCAAACCAGACUCUAAGAGGAGCCUCAGCACCAAGUAUGAGACCACUAUCUUCUAACCACCCACUCCCUGUCUCCAGUAGUCUCACUGUGCCUUGCCACCUGGUCUUUCUGCUCUUCUCAACUCUCCUUCCAGCUGCUGACACAGGCCCUGCCCCGGGACCUCUGCUCCUGGGCAGUAGCUGCAGACACUGCACACUCACAGCUGGUACCACCACCGGACACUGUGAACCCCCUGGGCGAGGACAGCUUGGGGGGCUGAGCCACUGAGGAACCAGCUGUGCUGCGGAAACACAGGUGCGGGAGCACAGGCUUCCGCCACCGCAACCUCCACCGUCUCACCUGCAGCUUCGAAGCCCCAGGCCCGGCCUCUGCCUGGAGGGCCUCCUCCCGCGGCCUGGCCUGGCCUGGCCUGCCACCUCCGGGUCUUGCAGAGAGAGCCCUGCCCUGGCUGCGGAGCACUGCGGGCCUGUAGCCAAGGAGACUGGAACCCCAGAGGGUCAAGAUGUGACUUGUCCAGAACACAUUUUUUAAUGGAAAAAAAUUUUUUUAUAAAAUGAACUUUUAACACUUGGCUUGAAUCUCUAGGUUAAACUGCCAACCUUUAGAGAAGGGGCCACAGGAUCAGAGGACAGGGAAACGAGAAGGGUAAAAGGCCAGUCUGUCCGUCCUCUGUCCUCAGGAUGGGAUUUAGAUGAGGUCUAGCAGGUCCAACGAGAAGGCAGUGCCUGUGGGUAGUGGAAAGGGGCAGAACUGACUACUUGUUGUUCGUUUGCUUUUCAAACCCAUCAAAUUAGAUGCUGUUCCCUAUGAACUGCACUCGUCUUGUCACCACCCAGCCCUGGGCACAGCCUUAGAGGCACCUGGCAGAAGCAAAGACUUCUGGUCUGUGUCGGGUUCCAGAAGUGACAGUCCAGGGUCCAUCUGGGGAUGAGUGAGCAGCUACUGGUGCCACGAAGUCUGAGCUGGCGCCUGGAGCUCUGGCCACUCAGUCUCUGACCCUUCGGUGGUCAGCACUGCCCUGGGCUGCCUGGCCUACGUGCUCUCUGGUGACUUCAGCAGCCUGAGUUGAGUCGGGAAGGAGGAAAAGCAGCUUUGCUUUGGGCAUUAAUGGGCAGGCCAGCUAACACUGCUGCCUGCCAACUCACGACUUGUCUCAUCAGGUCUCUGUGAUUAGGACUCACUUGGAUUCUCUGAAUUACUGGUUUGACUGUUGUGUUCUCAGCUGCUGGCUCACCCCUGGCUCCACGUGUAGAAAAGGGAAGGUGACAGUCAGUUUGAUUCUCCACGUGGCCUUCAGGGCAGGCUGGCAUCUGGCUCUGCUGCCCCUUCAGCCCUCCUGGGCUUGCUUUGCUUUUUAACUGUGGUUGUGUUCCCCUCCAGAAUGUAGCAGAAACGGGGGGCAGGUUCAUGUGAGGCAGAGAGGCAGAGCCAGGCCAGCGGCUGUCCAGUACCUUCCAGAGCAGGGAGCAGACCUCCUGGUGGGCGAGGCUUGGUCUGGUCCCAGCGUCAGUAGUCCAGGCGUCAGCAGUGGCUCUUUCCCAGGGAAGGUUAGAGUUGAUCGAGACUCCCUGCUGUUGUGCACGUGCAGGACGGCUCCUGGGCACGUUCACAGCCCGUGGUUGGCCGGACACUGAAGCAGGGCCGGGUCUUCCUGCUGACUUGAGCUGGGCUGUCCUGCACCAGGGGCCCUGGCAGUCACCUCCCCUCUGGAGUAGAGGUGGAUGAUCCUCUACUUUUCGGUACUGAACAGGAACCUUGACACCUGGAAGUUUGACUUUACUUCCUGCUGCUUCCAGGGCCUGCAGGGUUCUGCCCUACUUUCUUCCAGGAGUUGAUGAGGGCCAGAGGCGGAUGGGGAAACUGCCACUGCAGGGCUCUGCCAGCCGAGCAGGGCCAGGAAGGCCAGCUGGCCUAAGGCCGCCUCAUGGUGUAGGUGGUGGGGCCAAAAAGAAAACUAGACACUACGAUGAGUCCCUCCAGCCUUGUGUUUUUAAGUCACUUGUUGGUGUUUCUUCCUCUUAAAGCUGCUACGUCUUUAUUUAUUCAGGGUGUUUUCACGUUAGAAGGCCUUGGCUGGUCUGCUUUGGCUCUGGGUUUUGUUUUGAGAUUGGUUUGUUUCUGAAUAUUCAAGAAAGGAAAGGACUGGAUCUUCCUUUUCUACUCCCCCAGGGCAGGUGCUCUCCCUCCCCUAGAAAGAAAUGCUAUCAACAAGGACAGGCUUCAAGUGGGAAAGCCCUGCUCUGCACUCCUCUCGGUGCAGGUCACGUGACACCCCCGUCUGCGUUUCUGAACUGUGAGAGCCUGUUUAGCUGGGACUUGAAACGGGUUGGCACCUGUCACCAGCCGCAGGCUCUCUGGUUGCCGCUUUCCUGCUUGCCAGCCCUCUGAGCAGGACUUUCCUCCUAGUGGGCCCUGCGUCUGCUGCGCUCCGCAACCCUCCUGGGCUUCUAGCGUCAGGUUCCAGGGGGAGUUGCUUGAGAACCCUCAGCUGAGCAACAGCUGGAUGGUCGAGUCACCCAGACCUUAGAAAGCUAGUCUGACCUUGGUCUGACCCUGAGACGCCCGGGCCCAGCAGAAUGGCUGUCACAGGAGUAUUGUUGCUAACGGUGUGGCGACGGGCCUGAAUUGUAAUAAAAAUGUUAUUUAAUCUUUGUCUCUGUAUUUUGAUACUUGAAUGACUUCCCCUUUUAUUUUACUGUACAUAUCAUUGUUAAUCUGUUGUUUUGUCCGAAUCACAAACAUCUUGUGGUACCAAACAUAACCCACCUGUGCGACAGCAAAGACUGACCUCACGACCCGAGUGUAAAUACUCCUGGGCUUCCAGCAGCGGUGGUUAUUUUCAUAACUGUACAGCUUAGAACAGACGGAAUUAAUAAAUGAGAAGUGACAUGAA